GUGAUUUCCAAUGCCAGCUAUCUGAUCCUUACAUUUCAAAGAGGGAUAGAGAAAGUACCUAUUGGUUUGUUGAGCUGAGAUGUCAAUCCACACGGUCGCACCGACAGAGUCAGAUAAUGAAAAUGCAAGAUGGUUGCGAACAUGGUAGUUCGACAUGAACACAAAUCAAGCACAAGAAAAGCCCUCCCGGCCAACUCCUCUUUGGUCAUCCAGUUCAUGAGAUGAAUUUGUAUGAACUGGUGAUUCUUUUUUUUCUCCCCUUCUAUCUCUCUCCCACUUGAAGCAUCAUUGACCAGAUCUCCGUAAGUAUGCUAGUACACCUAACCCAGCAACCAGAGCCGCACCUGCUGCAACGGCACUGUAAGCUGCAGCCCAUGCAUCUGGAUAAGCAUAAUACAUAUCUCCCGAAGUUGAACUCAACCGACGGCUACGUACUCCAGAAUAGUCUAAAUGCAAUCUUAGACUCUGCAAAUUUAUCAAAGUUUAAGCCUUCUAGAGUUUAAAAAAUUCAGUAUUUUUUCUUUUUUGUUUAUAAACAUUUCUUUCUCUUUUCCCAUAGAAAAGGAACCCUAACAUCAUAAAUAAAGUGGUAUCUGUUUC